UGCUUGCAUCUGACGGCGACCGGCGCACGGGUGCGUAACGCGUAUGCAACCUACCUCUUACUGGGGGAUAGCCUUUAGAAAUGAAGAUUAACACCCCAUAAUAUAUUUUAUUCGCCUGAAUUGAAUAUUAAAGGUUACGGUAAGAGAUGGGCAUGCGUCCUAUUAGCUAGUUGGUAUGGUAACGGCAUACCAAGGCGACGAUAGGUAGGGGCCCUGAGAGGGGGACCCCCCACACUGGUACUGAGACACGGACCAGACUCCUACGGGAGGCAGCAGUGAGGAAUAUUGGACAAUGGAGGGAACUCUGAUCCAGCCAUGCCGCGUGCAGGAAGACUGCCCUAUGGGUUGUAAACUGCUUUUGUACGGGAAGAAACACCGCUACGUGUAGCGGCUUGACGGUACCGUAAGAAUAAGGAUCGGCUAACUCCGUGCCAGCAGCCGCGGUAAUACGGAGGAUCCAAGCGUUAUCCGGAAUCAUUGGGUUUAAAGGGUCCGUAGGUGGACUGGUAAGUCAGAGGUGAAAUCCUGCAGCUUAACUGUAGAACUGCCUUUGAUACUGCUAGUCUUGAAUCGUUGUGAAGUGGUUAGAAUAAGUAGUGUAGCGGUGAAAUGCAUAGAUAUUACUUAGAAUACCGAUUGCGAAGGCAGAUCACUAACAACGUAUUGACACUGAUGGACGAAAGCGUAGGUAGCGAACGGGAUUAGAUACCCCGGUAGUCUACGCCGUAAACGAUGGAUACUAGCUGUGCGGCUUCGGCUGUGUGGCUAAGCGAAAGUGAUAAGUAUCCCACCUGGGGAGUACGUUCGCAAGAAUGAAACUCAAAGGAAUUGACGGGGGCCCGCACAAGCGGUGGAGCAUGUGGUUUAAUUCGAUGAUACGCGAGGAACCUUACCAGGGCUUAAAUGUAGAGUGACAGUUCUAG
rnacentral:rRNA from 1 species